GACGAACGCUGGCGGCGUGCUUAACACAUGCAAGUCGAACGGAAAGGCCCUGCUUUUGUGGGGUGCUCGAGUGGCGAACGGGUGAGUAACACGUGAGUAACCUGCCCUUGACUUUGGGAUAACUUCAGGAAACUGGGGCUAAUACCGGAUAGGAGCUCCUGCUGCAUGGUGGGGGGUGGAAAGUUUCGGCGGUUGGGGAUGGACUCGCGGCUUAUCAGCUUGUUGGUGGGGUAGUGGCUUACCAAGGCUUUGACGGGUAGCCGGCCUGAGAGGGUGAACGGCCACAUUGGGACUGAGAUACGGCCCAGACUACAACGGGAGGCAGCAGUGGGGAGUAUUGCACAGUGGGCGGAAGCCUGAUGCGGCAACGCCGCGUGCGGGAUGACGGCCUUCGGGUUGUAAACCGCUUUCGCCUGUGACGAAGCGUGAGUGACGGUAAUGGGUAAAGAAGCACCGGCUAACUACGUG
rnacentral:rRNA from 1 species